UACAGAGGUCUCAAGCGUUGUUCGGAAUCACUGGGCGUAAAGGGUGCGUAGGCCGCACGGUAAGUCAGAUGUGAAAGCCCGGAGCUCAACUCCGGAACUGCAUCCGAUACUGCCGUGCUUGAGGACUGGAGAGGAGUCUGGAAUUCACAGUGGAGCAGUGAAAUGCGUAGAUAUCGUAAGGAAGACCAGUGGCGAAGGCGGGUCUCUGGACAGUUCCUGACGCUGAGGCACGAAGGCCAGGGGAGCAAACGGG
rnacentral:rRNA from 1 species